GCCACCUUAGCUCAGUUUGGCAGAGCGCUUGUCUUGUAAACAAGAGGUCCCUGGUUCGAGUCCAGAAGGUGGCA